GCGGGCAUGGUGAAAUUGGUAGACACGCCAGAUUUAGGUUCUGGUGCCGAAAGGCGUGGGAGUUCAAGUCUCUCUGCCCGCACCA
rnacentral:tRNA from 1 species